CCCCUCCGAACCCUGCCGAGUGCUCUCGGGCGCUCCCUAGCGGCACCGAGGCAAAACGAACGCUGCCGGCGGCACCAGGCGAACCCGAGUUCUGCCGAGCUGUUCCGACGGGUCCGGAGCGCUGCGGCGGAGGGAUGAACCUGAGCCCCGGCUCUCGGAACACACAGAACCCCAUGGAGGGCCCUAUAGGAUGAGGAGCAGAGGGCGCCAGGAGCUCAGGAAUGCAGGUGAACGGCGCCUGCCUCAAUGGGGCCCUCCUGCAGCUUGGUUCGGCGGUGGGAGAAGCAAGAAGGAAUCCAUAGGGAUCCACAGGGAUCGCCUGGACAGUGGCGAGAAUCCAUCCUCUGAAAUGCGUCAAGCGAGGAAAGGGGAUAGCAGAAAGAUGGGAAUAACUAAAUAAAAGCAUCCCCAUUCUCCUGCAUGGAAUUCCUGGGGUUUGAGGUCUCUGA